CAACCUGAGAGUUUGAUCCUGGCUCAGAACGAACGCUGGCGGCAGGCCUAACACAUGCAAGUCGAACGCCCUCUUCGGAGGGAGUGGCAGACGGGUGAGUAACGCGUGGGAACCUACCCAAGGGUACGGAAUAACUCAGGGAAACUUGGGCUAAUACCGUAUACGUCCUUCGGGAGAAAGAUUUAUCGCCCCUGGAUGGGCCCGCGUCGGAUUAGCUUGUUGGUGAGGUAAAAGCUCACCAAGGCGACGAUCCGUAGCUGGUCUGAGAGGAUGAUCAGCCACACUGGGACUGAGACACGG
rnacentral:rRNA from 1 species